rnacentral:rRNA from 1 species
CGAGUGGCGGACGGGUGAGUAACGCGUAGGAAUAUGCCUUAAAGAGGGGGAUAACUUGGGGAAACUCAAGCUAAUACCGCGUAAUCUCUGAGGAGAAAAGCUGGGGACCUUCGGGCCUGGCGCUUUAAGAAUAGCCUGCGUACGAUUAGCUAGUUGGUGAGGUAAGGGCUCACCAAGGCGACGAUCGUU